rnacentral:rRNA from 1 species
UACGGGGGGUGCGAGCGUUGUCCGGAAUCACUGGGCGUAGAGGGCGCGUAGGUGGUUUGAUAAGGGUGUGGUGAAAGUCCGGGGCUCAACCCCGGAUCUGCCGUGCCGACUGUCAAACUCGAGGGCUGUAGAGGCAGACGGAAUUCCGGGUGUAGCGGUGGAAUGCGUAGAGAUCCGGAGGAAGACCGGUGGCGAAGGCGGUCUGCUGGGCAGUUUCUGACACUGAUGCGCGACAGCGUGGGGAGCAAACAGG